rnacentral:sRNA from 1 species
UCUAGAUUGAUGAUGCUCGUCAGGGCAAAUCUAUUGAGCCCGAACACGAUGAGGUUAUGAUGAGUAGUUUAGGAGUUCUGGUGACCAACUCCUGACUCCAUCAUGAGACCCUGGGCCUCA